rnacentral:rRNA from 1 species
CCCUUAGAUGUUCUGGGCGGCCCGCGCACUACAUUGGCACUGGCAACAAGAUCCUAGAUCUGAUAUUUCGGGGUAUUCUACCAACUGGUGUCGUGACUGGGAUUAACCCCUGCAAUUAUUGGUUAUGAACGAGGAAUUCCUUGUAAUCACGGUUUAUCAACCCGUGUUGAAUGCGUCCCUGCCCUUUGUACACACCGCCCGUCGCUCCUACCGAUGAAUCGUCCGGUGAAGUUCAUGGAGUCGCGGCUGCUCCAGCUGUUUUCGAAGUGAAAUGGACCUCAUGAUUUAGAGGAAGGAGAANUCGUANCA